GGGCGCUUGGUCUAGGGGUAUGAUUUUCGUUUCGCAUAUGAAAGGUCGUGGGUUCAAUUCCCACAGUGUCCA
rnacentral:tRNA from 1 species